rnacentral:misc_RNA from 1 species
GCCAUUUUCUGAGAAUUGAGUUUUGGUUUUCUACUUAAAGGUUAAGCUGCAUCUUCUCUGAGAUCUUGCAUAGAAACACAUAUCCCCUAGGGGAAGUAAAACAGAGUAUCUUUCGUGAGUGAGAAACACCACCUGUGAACGUACAUAAACAGUCCAAACCCAGAUAAAAGAGGGCCACUGUGGGUGAUGUUCAAUAUUACACUUUGCCG